rnacentral:tRNA from 1 species
AGCUCCAUAGUGUAAUGGUUAGCACGUCUGCUUUACAUGCAGAAGGUCCUGGGUUCGCACUCCCGAUGGAGCCA